rnacentral:snRNA from 1 species
GUGUUCAUUUUGGCUGCACAUAUACUAAAACUGGAAUGAUACGGGGAAGAUUAGCAUGGCUCUUGCAUAACUAAAAAAAUAUUUAUAUUAUAGCACAUAUCACUCUUC